UCUAUUCAUCGCAGGUGGGCUGCAGAGGGGGGAACAGGACUGGUGGAAGAAAGCCGAGAAGCCAGUACAGAGCUUGUGGAAAAUCCAGAUACUAGGGAUGUGGGCCUGGAAUUUCGGCAAGCAGUCUAGCUGGAAGGUCGGGAAUCUUCUUCCUCCUAUGGAAGCGAGCUCAAUCCAGCCAGCCUGUCUGGGGCCCCUCCUCAGCGCGAUGGCACUGUUUUCCCUGCUCUAGGAAAGCCCUGGUUAAAAACACCCGGUUUCCAAGGCCACCUUGCCUUGCGUGUGCUACAGGCCAAGCCAAGCAAGCACCCAGCGCUAAGCACACUACCGGGAAAACAAGCCGGCAGGGUCUCUGUUGUAUAAACCCGGGACGUCUGGGGGUCCACAAAGAGGCCUUGUAAACGAAUCCAGGCCCCGGGUGAUAGGGAAACCCAGACGGCCGCCCUGACCCGUUUCUAUCGGGCUCAAGCGCCACUCCAGAGACAUUCCAGAACCCUUUAACGAGACAGCCAGACCUGGCUCCUGUUUCCUGGUCACAGAGAGCUGCAGGCCUCACUUGCUUGGGCCACAUCCAGUCCCGCAAGACCAGCCUCGCGCCAGGAGGGGUUCAGCCCGAGGACUCCGCAGUAGACGCCACGAGCGCAGCAAGGGUGACAAAAGGCAACGGGACCCCGUGAGAGGUGAAGGGGGUGCUGGAGUCGGGCACACCCCCACAUAAAGCUCCCCCGGUGCCUGGCUGUGGAAGGUGCUGGAAAAACGUCAGCACCCACCUGCCUGCCUUCUAACAGUCCUUUGCCUGGAGUCAGAGAAUUAAAGGGACCCCUUUGUCCACUUGGAUGCUGAGAAGACACCGAGGAUGCUCAGGUCAGACCACCUCUGGUCUCGUGGUGUGGGGCCCUGAGCAGCACCCACGCCCCCAAAAGCAGUCAACCUCUCCCUCCUCAGCACCACCCCUUCAGCCGGGGCACACUCUGCUGUUUUCCUGGUCCCACUGGACUACGAGGAUCUGUUUGGUGUCAGUCUCUAGGACCAGGAAAGACUUCGUUGAGGACAGGGAUUGGAGUCUCUGGACUUCUCAGAACCUUGGUUCCUGUAUCGAAUGGCCUCAACUUUCAGGAGCACAGCCAUCCACACAGCCUGUCUAUGCAUCUGAUUUAUUCUGACCCUCAUGACUACCUCAAGGGAUCAUUAUUCAGCUCAUUUCUAGACAUUUCUGCAGACACCUACUGUGUGCUAGACAAUGUUCCAGAAGAGGAAGAGAGGCUAAAAGAAGAAACUAGCCCUCCCCCCCCUUGAGAAGCAUUCAGUCCACGUAGGGUAGUCUAUUCUGUUUCUCAGACAAGGAAACCAAGGCUCAGAGAAGCUAAGUGUGUAAAAUAACAUAGCUGAUUAGUGACAUCUUGCCCACUGACCUGACACACAGGAAUCAUCUGAAAAAGAUGAUCAACGAAGCUAAGGUACUUCAAAACCUUUAUAUGAGUCUAACUCGGAAUGCCCAUAUGGGGACAAAAAAAAGAAAUAACACAAUCCAGGCUCAUCUCCUCUCCCACCUUGCUGUGUUAUCUGUAAUGUUCUACUUAAAAGUCA